UAUGAAUGAUGAUGAAGGCUGUAGGCUGUGAGUUCAUCAGGUUAUGGAAGUGAAAAUGAAUGGCCACGUUUCUCUUGAUGCAGAAUGUUGAGGCUCCUCUCAGUUUGACUAGUUGUUUGAACUUUAUUUGCAUCGAGUGCCUGGAAGUCUUGGAAAUCUGCUGGAUUUCAGAGCCAAAAUGAUUUGAUGAUCUUGUCAUUCGAGCUCGUCGCCACGUGCGUGUGGAAGUGUCUCAAACAGCUGGAUGGUAGGCCUACUAAGGUCGAAAUGUGCUUUCUACACGUGGAAGAGGCAUACCCCCAAGCACCCACCCCAACAAAAUCCGCCAUCAGAUUCUGCUACGACAUCUGAUACAAGGACAACGUGCACGUGCCAGUCCACACCAGCCGAGUUGCGGAUGAGGCCGUGCGUGAGUGUGGUUAUGAAACUCGAGAUCCCAUCACCUAUUAAUAAUUAUGUUCUUCUGAACCAAUGACUUCUACCUCUU